AGUGGGUUUGGAGAGGCCUGAAAAGGCUCAGGGGAAACCAAACUCCAGCUGAGGAGUCUGGGGACAUUCAGUCCUUGUGAGAAUCCUGACCAUGGCCUGGACAAUAGUUCUUCUUGGAAUCUUUGUUUACAGCUCAGGAGUAGUUUCUCAGACUGUGGUCACCCAGGAGCCAUCAAUGUCUGUGUCGUCAGGAGGGACAGUCACUCUCACCUGUGGCCUGAGCUCUGGGUCCGUCUCUACUGGUUACUACCCCAGCUGGUACCAGCAAAACCCGGGCCAGCCUCCAUAUAUACUUAUCUACAACACGAACAGCCGUCCCUCUGGGGUCCCUGAUCGCUUUUCUGGAUCCAUCUCUGGGAACAAAGCUGCCCUCACCAUCAUGGAGGCUAAGACAGAGGAUGAGGCUGAUUAUUACUGCUUACUGUACAUGGGAAGUAGCAUCACACAGUGA